rnacentral:lncRNA from 1 species
GGCACAGGCAACCCAGGUCUCCUUCCACAUUGUGGAAGUUUUGGUCUUUCAUUCUUCGCAAUAAAUCUUGCUGCUGCUCACUGUUUGUGUCCGGCCCAUCUUUAAGAGCUGAAACACUCACGGCAAAAGUCCGCAGCUCCAUUCUUGAAGUCAGCAAGACCACGAAUCCACCGGAAGGAACCAAUUCUGGACACAAUAGGGGCUUAUGAUCAGGCAAAGGAGACACCAGGAAAGAGGAGCAGAGUGGCUAGGGCAGUGCACUGCAGAUGCAUGGACGAAAGCUCGCAGCGACACAGGUAUGGGGUGUCUAAUCAGGGAUGAGUGUGAGCAGCAGAAUGAGGAGCAUGCUUUCCCAGAGGAAGAGAGGAAGCCACUGGAGAGAUGAAGGAUGCCAUGGACAGGAGGUGGUGUCUCUGGAGCCGCCGAGCAGCAGCCUCAUUGCUCAGAAGAUGAAGAUGCUGACGAAGACCCAGACAGGAAAAAAGGAAGAAAAAGCAUCCUGAUUGUUCCAUUAGCAAAGCCACAGUCCCGGAGAGCAAGGGGAGGGGCACAGCAGGCAGCCGCACCCAUGGGAUGCAUCUGCAGCUUGUGAGCAAUGCAUGAAAGAUGAAUCACACAGCAGCAAUGCCUUCAGCUUCCGUGUGCUAUGGCUCACUCAGCACCAGCUCUGCAGGCUGCCUAAGCCAGAAGUCAGUCUCUGCCUUUAGACUUGCUCACUUCUUUUAGGAACGGAGAUAUCCUCUGAUCCCUUGUCCUACAACCUCGAUUAAUAUCUUUCCAACAGCCAUCUGCCAAACUCAAGAAGACCCUGGAACAACCUAAUUGGAAAAGUUUCCAUCUUAUCCCUUGGAAAACUAUAGAAAAGUAGUGUCACACAAAUGUUUAAUUUCUGAUUUCUACAAUUUCAGAUACCAGAGUUUAUCUGUUACCAUGACAACUAACAGCUUUAUAAAUGUUUUCUAGCCUCUGCUAUUUUCUGGAACUUAUCUACAUUUCAGUAUUUGCUUAAUAAUUUUGAGCUGACACUAGCAACAUAAUUGUGUCUGGAUUGUGUAUGUGUAUGUCUUGUGUGUGUUGGCAGGGGGUGGGUAUAACCUAUGUCAGUGUUUUUCAAUGUGAGCAAAUUUUAAUAAACUUUUAUAUUUAAUGUGAACAUUAACUGUCACAUUC